UAAAAUGGUGAUUCUGAGUUUC
rnacentral:siRNA from 1 species